CGUCUCGGCCGUGACUGGCGCGGGUGGGACCGACCACCGGGGAGCGGCCGAGGAGUCCUGAUCCCGUCGUCGUCCGCCUGGGCGCCGGGU
rnacentral:ncRNA from 2 species